UGUGAUGCGCCCUCCCAUACUUGUCUACAU
rnacentral:piRNA from 1 species